rnacentral:rRNA from 1 species
UACGAAGGGGGCUAGCGUUUCUCGGAAUCCCUGGGCGUAAAGGGUGCGUAGGCGGGUCUUUAAGGUCGGGGUGAAAUCCUGGAGCUCAACUCCAGAACUGCCUUUGAUACUGAAGAUCUUGAGUUCGGGAGAGGUGAGUGGAACUGCGAGUGUAGAGGUGAAAUUCGUAGAUAUUCGCAAGAACACCAGUGGCGAAGGCGGCUCACUGGUCCGGUACUGACGCUGAGGUGCGAAAGCGUGGGGAGCAAACAGG